ensembl:piRNA 21ur-9807 ncRNA
UUCACUUUUUUAAAAACAUUU